rnacentral:rRNA from 1 species
AUACGGAGGAUCCGAGCGUUAUCCGGAUUUAUUGGGUUUAAAGGGUGCGCAGGCGGCCAUUUAAGUCAGCGGUUAAAUCGUGGGGCUCAACCCCAUUCUGCCGUUGAUACUGGGUGGCUUGAUUGCGGUAGAGGUUGGCGGAAUUCGUUGUGUAGCGGUGAAAUGCAUAGAUAUGACGAAGAACACCGAUUGCGUAGGCAGCUGACCAGACCGCAAAUGACGCUCAUGCACGAAAGUGCGGGGAUCGAACAGGAUUAGAUGCCCUGGUAGUCCGCACAGUAAACGAUGAAUACUUGUUUUCGGCGAUAUAAUGUCGGAGGCAAAGCGAAAGCGAUAAGUAUUCCACCUGGGGAGUACGCCGGCAACGGUGAAACUCAAAGGAAUUGACGGGU